rnacentral:rRNA from 1 species
GUGGUAAUGCCGGAUGCUCCAGUUGAUCGCAUGGUCUUCUGGGAAAGCCUUUGCGGCAUGGGAUGGGGUCGCGUCCUAUCAGCUUGAUGGCGGGGUAACGGCCCACCAUGGCUUCGACGGGUAGCCGGCCUGAGAGGGCGACCGGCCACAUUGGGACUGAGAUACGGCCCAGACUCCUACGGGAGGCAGCAGUGGGGAAUAUUGCACAAUGGGCGCAAGCCUGAUGCAGCGACGCCGCGUGAGGGAUGGAGGCCUUCGGGUUGUAAACCUCUUUUGUUAGGGAGCAAGGCAUUUUGUGUUGAGUGUACCUUUCGAAUAAGCACCGGCUAACUACGUGCCAGCAGCCGCGGUAAUACGUAGGGUGCAAGCGUUAUCCGGAAUUAUUGGGCGUAAAGGGCUCGUAGGCGGUUCGUCGCGUCCGGUGUGAAAGUCCAUCGCUUAACGGUGGAUCCGCGCCGGGUACGGGCGGGCUUGAGUGCGGUAGGGGAGACUGGAAUUCCCGGUGUAACGGUGGAAUGUGUAGAUAUCGGAAAGAACACCA